AUUGACCUCGGAUCAGGUAGGGAUACCCGCUGAACUUAAGCAUAUCAAUAAGCGGAGGAAAAGAAACCAACAGGGAUUGCCCUAGUAACGGCGAGUGAAGCGGCAACAGCUCAAAUUUGAAAUCUGGCUCCUUUGGGGUCCGAGUUGUAAUUUGUAGAGGGUGCUUUGGCGUUGGCUGUGGUCUAAGUUCCUUGGAACAGGACGUCACAGAGGGUGAGAAUCCCGUACGUGGCCGCCAGUCUUCGCCGUGUAAAGCCCCUUCGAUGAGUCGAGUUGUUUGGGAAUGCAGCUCUAAAUGGGAGGUAAAUUUCUUCUAAAGCUAAAUAUUUGCCAGAGACCGAUAGCGCACAAGUAGAGUGAUCGAAAGAUGAAAAGCACUUUGGAAAGAGAGUCAAAAAGCACGUGAAAUUGUUGAAAGGGAAGCGCUUGCAGCUAGACGUGCCUUGGGUUGAUCAGCCGGACUUUUGCCCGGUGCACUCUUCCUUUGGCAGGCCAGCAUCAGUUUGGGCGGCUGGAUAAAGGUCUGUUAAACGUGACUCCCUUCGGGGAGAGCUUAUAGGGCAGACGACAUGCAGCCAGCCUGAACUGAGGUCCGCGCAUCUGCUAGGAUGCUGGCGUAAUAGCUGUAAGCGGCCCGUCUUGAAACACGGACCAAGGAGUCUAACAUCUAUGCGAGUGUUUGGGUGUCAAGCCCGAGCGCGUAAUGAAAGUAAACGGAGGUGGGAACCUUUUAGGUGCACCAUCGACCGAUCCUGAUGUCUUCGGAUGGAUUUGAGUAAGAGCAUAGCUGUUGGGACCCGAAAGAUGGUGAACUAUGCCUGAAUAGGGUGAAGCCAGAGGAAACUCUGGUGGAGGCUCGCAGCGGUUCUGACGUGCAAAUCGAUCGUCAAAUUUGGGCAUAGGGGCGAAAGACUAAUCG
rnacentral:rRNA from 1 species